rnacentral:rRNA from 1 species
GACGAACGCUGGCGGCGUGCCUAACACAUGCAAGUCGAACGGAAGUUAGAGCUUCGGUUUUAACUUUAGUGGCGAACGGGUGAGUAACGCGUGAAGAACCUGCCUUUCAGUGGGGGACAACAGUUGGAAACGACUGCUAAUACCGCAUGAAACUUCGAGAGGGCAUCCUCUUGAAGUCAAAGCUUUAUGUGCUGAAAGAUGGCUUCGCGUCUGAUUAGCUAGUUGGUGGGGUAACGGCCCACCAAGGCGACGAUCAGUAGCCGGUCUGAGAGGAUGAACGGCCACAUUGGGACUGAGAUACGGCCCAG